GUGGUGCAUGGUUGUCGUCAGCUCGUGUCGUGAGAUGUUGGGUUAAGUCCCGCAACGAGCGCAACCCUUAAGCUUAGUUGCCAUCAUUAAGUUGGGCACUCUAAGUUGACUGCCGGUGACAAACCGGAGGAAGGUGGGGAUGACGUCAAAUCAUCAUGCCCCUUAUGAUUUGGGCUACACACGUGCUACAAUGGACAAUACAAAGGGCAGCGAAACCGCGAGGUCAAGCAAAUCCCAUAAAGUUGUUCUCAGUUCGGAUUGUAGUCUGCAACUCGACUACAUGAAGCUGGAAUCGCUAGUAAUCGUAGAUCAGCAUGCUACGGUGAAUACGUUCCCGGGUCUUGUACACACCGCCCGUCACACCACGAGAGUUUGUAACACCCGAAGCCGGUGGAGUAACCUUUUAGGAGCUAGCCGUCGAAGGUGGGACAAAUGAUUGGGGUGAAGUCGUAACAAGGUAGCCGUAUCGGAAGGUGCGGCUGGAUCACCUCC
rnacentral:rRNA from 1 species